CAUUCCAAAACAGAAUUUAGGACUAGAAAGUAAAUAAAAUAACUAUUGUUAAGGACUAGGAAAGUAAAUACUAAAAUUAACAACUCAAAUACCUAAUGGACUUAAAUAUCAUAAUCUAAACUUCAUUUGUUAACGGUCACAACAACUUUUGUGACAGAUAAGUAGUCAAAAGUCUAGUUCUGGAUCCUAGAUACUAUGGUGAAAUGCUCCUCUGCCUUUUGUGUCUUAGCUACUUAUCUUUAAUUUGCAUCUACUUUCCCUUGGUUAUCACGCCUCCUUGCUCUUUGUUUAUUGGUGAAUAUGUGCGCAAACCAUGUGUUGACAUCAAUGGAGGAUUAGUUUUGGAGACUUCAAAUGCUUGUAUCAAGUAUGCGUUCCGGUGCACCUGUUUCUUGGUCUUUUUGGUGCUUGCAAUCCAAGAUGGAGAUUGUCAGGCUUAGACUAAAGAUGGGGUUUUUCAAUUGACUCUUGCAUCUCGAGUAAUUUCCUAGGUGAUGAAGAGUUUUGUCAGCUUUGCACUGAACUAUGCCCUUCUUUCUGUGCUUGUUGUUGGGUCUAAUCGAGUAGUGGAUUGUUCUUGUCAUGGAGGGCUUUGUUUGGACAUCUGUAUUGAGAUUUUAUUUAAUUUGAGUUUAGGUAUUCUUUAGUUCAAUUUUUGUGAGCACUGAGAUUCUCAUUUCAGUUUUCUUCCCCAAUUAGAGUGGUCCCUCUUCUCUUUGUCAAAAAUUGCGGCUAUGUGGAAGUUCCCAACUUAAUAGUUUUUCUUGCACCAAUGUGUUAUAUUCUGCUGCUGUUUUUUGUUCGAAUGCUUGUGGUGUUCGCCAACUAAUGGUGUUUGAUGGGUACAUGGUCUAAUCGACAGCUGAUAAGUAAUCAAAACUUGAUCCAAACUCAAUCCUUGAUCUCGACAGCCUCAUCAAGUGGGUCUGUCUCUCUUGGUAUAUCUUGCUGCUUAUCUUCUUGCUUCUUGUUUGUUGUGUCACCCCAGCUUGAUUUUAUUUGUUGUAUGGAUUCCAGUUAAAAGGAAUUGAUUUGGAAAUUCUGAAGGUUGAUUCCCAAUGCCCUAGAAUGGGCAGCCUGUUUCUCUGCCAUUUUAGAGCUGGCACUGGAAUCAGAAUAUAAUAAGGCAAGAUACAGUGGUUUCUCAAUCGUAGUUCUUUGCUAUUUUUGUGCUUGCACCGGGAUCCGAGUAUUAUCAGGCUUUGAGAGGAGUUCUUCAACCCUGUAUUGCAUUUUUACUGUGUUUCGUCAGGUUUGCACGUAACUCUCCCCUUCAUUCCUCUUCUUGCAGCCAUUGGAUCGUACAAAAUAGUGGACUCUUCUUUCAAUGGAGUGACCUUUCUUGUCUUAUAUGAGUUCAGGCCUUUUUAGUUCAGUCUUUUAUAGUAUCAAAAAUUUUAAAUGGAGUUAUCUUUCAUCAUGGCUCCUCUUAUCUGUGUCAAAAUUACUGUUGUGUGGAAGUUUCUCAAUUAGUAUGUUAUUUUGACCAGUGUGUUGUAUUUUUCUGCUGCCAUGAAGUUCUUAGUCCAGAUGCAUAUGUUCUUCAAUGAUCCGAGUGAUGAGGUUUCCUAUUGUGAUGGGGUCUUUUAUGGCUGUGGAAACCUAAAUAAGUACUCCGCCAAUUCUAGAUCUUCUGAUAUUGACAAUUACUUAAAGUACUUAUGUUAACUUUUGAUCUUCUAUCUCCUUAUCUUCUGUGCUUCCAUUUCUUUCAUUAUCACGCUAGUUUGUUUUGGUUGGAUAGAUGUGUAGCCAUAUGGUGAUACUUUUAUGGACAUUUAGAUUUGGAGAUUCCAAAGGUUGGUUAUAACCAACAUGUGAUCCUCUGUCACCUUUUGGACAAUGGUGCUUGCAUUGCAAAUUUGGAUUUCCAGGCUUUGACACAAGGGGUUUUUUGGUCUUGUCUUUGGCAUAUUUAGUUAUUACAUGGGUGGUUUUGGGGUUUGUCAGAUCUGCACUUAACUAUCCCUUUCUUUCAAUUCCUGCAGUCGUUGAACCACAAAGCAGUAUUGUUCUUUUCAUGAAGCGGUCGUGUUUUAUCUGUUUGUGUUGAGGUUUCUUUAGUAGAGUCUUUUAUGAAUAUUAGGAUUUUUGAUUCAAUUUUCUUCCCUUAUGGAUCCGUUUUCUCUGUCAAAACUAUUGUUAUAUGGAUGUUUUUCUGGACUAAGAUAAUUUUGUUACAAGUGUGUAUUAUUUUUUGUUGCCAUGAAGAUUUUAAUCAGACACUUUGUUCUUCAAUGAUCCAACUGAUGACCUCCAUUAUGGUUAUUGUCGCUUGAUAGGUACUUGGUUUGUGGAUUUAUCUCUCCAUAAAGUGUUGCUCUACUUAUGGUCCUCUUGCUACAUAUAUUUUUUACUGCCAUUUUUUUGUUGGAUGGAUGUGUAGACUAUAUGGUGAAAAUAUUAGAGGUUGAUUUCAAUGGUUGAGAUGCUGUAUAGUAGAGGUUGAUUUCAAUGGUUGAGAUGAUGUACGCUCUUGGUCUUUUUGGUUCUUGCACUGCAAUUUGGAUGUAUUGCUUAGGGCUUCAACAAAGAAGGGUUUUAUUUCUUGUCUAAAUCUCAUCUCUAGUGAUUUCUUAGGUGGUGUGGGUUUCGUGUUUUGGUUGUACCUUUCUUUUUGUGCUUGCAUCCAUUUGGUCUUAUAGAGCAAUGAAUUAUUUUUUUCAUGGAGCGGCUUAGUUUGUCCAUAUAUAUUGAGGUUGCCUUAGUUCAGUCUUUUAUGAGUACUUGGAUUUUUAUCUAAAAUAGUUUUUAUUUUUCACUAGUGUGUGUCAUAUUCUACUGUCAUUUUUGUUUUUUGUCCAGAUGCUCCUUUCCUUCAAUUAUCCAAUUGUGAGACUCCACAUGGUUGAUGGUCAUGGCCUUAUGGACACCUGACAAGAUCUCAAUUUGGAUCUCUUUAAAGCCUCAUAAAUGGGUUUCGUAACUCUUCGCUUCACUCCUUUGCAUGCAGCCAUUGGUCUCACAAAGCAGUUGAUUUUUUUCUGAUGGAGUACCCUUAUUUGUCCAUAUGGCGUUGUUGAGGUUUUUUUUAGUUCAGUCUUUUAUGAGUAUGAUAAUUUUCAAUUUAGUCAUUUUCCCUAAUGACUGUUUUGUCUUUUUAAAACUACUGAUGUGGAAGUUUCUCAAUUAGGACAUCAAAGCGUGAUGCAUAUAUAUGAUAGGAGUCUUGCGCAACUCAAGUGAAAUAUUGUUAAAAAGACUCUAUCGGUAAUCAGAAAGAGAAAACAGUUUUUCACCUGUGUAUUGUAUUCUGCUGCCAUGAAGUUCUAAGUCCAGAUGUAUAUGUCUUGGAUGAUCCAAUUGAUGAGGUCUCUUAUAGUGAUAUGAAGUCUGUUAUGGCUAUGUACAACUGAUAAGUACUCAACCAAAUGUAAAUCUUUUGAUCGCGGCGUAAAAUACUUUGUUUAUUUUGUUCUUAGCUACUUACUUGUCUUCUCUUCUUCCAUUUUUUCCUGUUAUCACACUAGUUUUUUUUUGUUUGAUGGAUGUGUAGACCGUAUGGUGAUACUGUUAUGGAUGUUCAGGUUUGGAAAUUUUAAAGCUUGGUUAACCAACAUGCGAUCCUCAGCCACCUUUUGGACUUUUUGGUUCUUGCACUACAAUCUUGAUAUUUUCUGGGCUUUGACAAAAGGGGGUUUUCAGUCUCGUCUAUGGCAUAUCUAUUCAUCAUUUGGGUUGUUUGGGGUUUGUCAGAUUUGCACUUAACUGUUCCCUUCUUUCUGUUCUUGCAGCCAUUGCCUACAAGGAAGUGAUUGUUCUUUUCAUGAAGCGGUUGUGUUGCCCAUUUGUGUUGAGGUUUCUUUAGUUAUGUCUUUUGUGUUUGUUGUGUUCUGCUGCCAUGAAGUUUGCCAGUAAGUACUCGGUCAAUAUUGGAUAUUACUUUUUGACAACGUCAUUAAGUGCUCCUCCACUUCUGCUCAUCUAACUACAUAUGUUGUUUCCUUCCAUGUAGACUAUAUAGGACAUAAUUGACAAUUCGAAGUUACAGAUUAUUCCUUUCCUGCAAUGGAUGCGGUGGAAAAAGGAUUCCUAAAUUUUAUUGUCCGUUAUUUCGUAUGUGACGACAGGUCAAACUAUAUUGUGUCGGUAAUUAGAAGUUAAACAUUUGGAGAUUUCAAAGGUUAAUGUCCAGUAUAGUAUCUCUGUACCCUCUUGGUCUUUUUGGUUCUUGGUAUGUAAUCUGGUUAUAUUGGUCAAGCCUUCAACAAAAAAAGGGUCUUUAAUAUUAUCUAUAGGACAUCUCUUACUGAUUUCUUAGGUGGUAAGGGUUCUGUCAAUUUUGAACUUGAUUGUACCUUUUUUUUGUUCUUGCAGCCAUUGGGUAUUAAAGAGCAGUAAAAUAUUCUUUUGAUGGAGAGGCUUUGUUUGUCCAAUUUAUGUCGAGGUUUCCAUGGUUUAGGCUUGUAUGAGUACUGAGAUUUGCAACUAUUUUUUUCAAUUAGUGUGUGUGAUAUUCUAUCGUCAUUUUUGGAUUUCCGUUUAGAUGCUUAUUUUUUCAAUUAUCCAAGCUGAUGAGAUACUUGAUUGUUGAUGGUUAUGAUCUUGUGGACACUUAACAACUACUCAAUUUUGGAUCUUUUGAUUUGCUAUUGUUGUUUGAUUGAUCAGGUAUGGCUAAUAAUGAUGGGAGAACAAUUAUGGGUAUCUUUCCUGUGCAUUUAUUUAUUUUGUUCCCAAUUUCUUGAUGUACCUUUGAUUGAUUUCCAUUUUUUUUAUUUUAGAAAAUGGAAGUUGGUAAUGUCCGUUCAGGAUGCAGUUUUUCAAAAUCGAGUAUUGCUUCCAGGUUUUGCAAUAUUCUGAGGUUUUUGUUGUGAGAAAUCAUGUGUUGUGUACAUUAUCUUAUCACCCUAUUUACUACUCUAAAACCUAGCAAUUUCCUUUUGUUGAAUCAGAAUAUGAGUAGAAGUGGGAAUUUGGAUCUUAAGAUGAACGAGUCCCAUUGUCAUCUCUUGUCAUAACCAUAGAGAGGAGCUGUCAGUUUGGAUUUGAUAUCUUGACUUCAAUCUUUAAUGCUAAUAUUGAUGCCUAUCAUGUUUCUCCUCGCUCAAUUAUUUUGUUUGGUCAUCACUGGAUGUUAUUCUUAGCUGUCAACGAUACAUGGAUGUGCAUCUAGGUGCAAGUGAUUCUACAGGAGUAGGUGUCUUGUUUUGGUGUUCCUCUUGGGAAAGAUGCAGGAGUCCCCAGGUUUUUGACAUUAGGUAGUCUCUCAAAGUUUUGUCAUACUGCUUAUGGAAGUUCUCAACUAUUUCUCUUCACUUGUGUGCAUAACGCGUUCUGCUGCCUGUUAUAGUUGAUGGUUCAGAUGCGAAUGUUCUUUGAUAAUUCUGUUAUAUCUUGUGGUGUUCUGGUCACUAUAUAAGUAAUCGAAGUGAAUUUUGGAUCUCUGAUAGUGCCGUAAUGUGAUCCUCUGCCUUUUGUGUCCUAACUACUUGUUUUCUCUCUUCUUCUAUUUUCUCUUGGUUAUCACACUUGCUUGAUCUUGUUUGUUGGUGAAUAUAUGUGUAGACCACAUGGUGAUAUUAAUAAAGGAUUAGUUUUGGUAACUUCGAAUGCUUGUAUCCGGUAUGCAUUCCUGUGCACCUUUUUCUUUGUCUUUUUGGUGCUUGCAUUCCAAGAGAGAUAUUGUCAGUCUUCGACUAAUGGGUUUUUUCAAUAUCUCUUGCACCUCCAAUGAUUUCUUAGGUUAUAAGGGUUUUGUUAGCUUUGCACUUAAUAUUUCUCUUCUUUCUGUCCUUGCAACCUCAUUUCUUUGCGGGUCUAGCUGGGCAGUUAAUUAUCCUUUUCGUGGAGGGAUUUUGUUUGGACAUUUGUGUUGAGGUUCUUCUAGUUCAUGUUUUAUGAGUUCUGUCAUUCAUAUUUCAGUUGUCUUCCCCAAUUGUAGUGGCUUCCUAUCUUUGUCAAAAAUUGAUGUUAUAUGAAAAUCCCUAGUUAAAUUAGUUUUUCUUGCACUAGUGUGUGUUGUAUUCUGAUGCUGCUUUUAGUUUGUUGAUCGAAUGCUUGUGUUCUUCGGUGAUCCAAUUGAUGAGAUUCCGAGAUGCCCUGGUUGGUUGAUGGGUAUGUGGUCUUAUUGGCACCUGAUAAGUAAUCAAAACUCAAUCCUAUAUCUUUUUACAGCCCCAUUAAGUGGGUCGGUUCUCUGCUUCUGUUAUUUGUAUCACCUCAUCUUGAUUUUGUUUGUUGGAAUGAUGACACUCGAGGGUUAGAUUUGGAAAAUUUUGAAGGUUGAUGCCUAGUGUCCAUUCUUGUGCAAGCUGUUUCUCCGCCAUUUCUUUGCUGGCACUACAAUCUGAAUAUUAGUAGGAGAGAUAUAGAGGGGUUUCUCAAUCUUGAUUCCUUGCCAGUUUUGUGGUUGCACCACAAUGUGGAUACUAUCAGGCUCUAUGAGAGGGUUUUUUCAAUCAUUGUCUUGCAUUUUCUAGUGGGUUUCGUCAUCUUUGCAAGUAAUUAAUUCUUUCCUUCAUUCCUUUGUUUGCAGCUAUUUGGCCUUACAGAGCAGUGGAUUCUUCUUUUCAAGGAGUGAUAUUGUUUGUCCACAUUAGUUGAGGCCUUUCUAGUUCAACAUUAUAUGGGUAUCGAUAAUUUUCAGUUCAGUUUUCGUCCCUUGUGGCUCCUCUUAUCUUUGUCAAAAUUACUAUUGUAUGGGAGUUUAUCAAUUAGGGUAUUAUUUUUGACACAGUGUUGUAUUUUCUCUGCUGCCAUAAGUUCUUAGUUAAGAAGCAUCUUCUCUUUGAUGAUCCAAGUUGUAAGGUGCAUGGUGAUAAUGAUGUCUUUUGUGUGGAAACCUGAAGAAGUACUCGGCCAAUACUAGACCUUUUAAUAAUGAUGUAGAUUACUUCUUUACUUUGUUCUUCUAGCUACUUUU